rnacentral:piRNA from 1 species
CCAGUCCUGACUGCAUGCACACG